rnacentral:lncRNA from 1 species
CCAUCUGCAUUCUUCUAUUCGUGGCACACUAAAAACCUAGAAUUUGUUUCUCUCUCAUAUUUGAGUACAAUUAAUUUUCAAUUAGAGAUGAAGGGAAGCACUGGAACUAAGGAUGGUAACUCGAAGAAGAGGAUCAUGUCAAGUAGAAAACUAGGAAAGUUUCUCAAGGAGCAGAGAGGAAGACUUUACAUUAUGAGAAGAUGUGUAGUCAUGCUACUUUGCUGGCACGACUGAUGGCACCACAAGAUAUUAUGCAUCAAAAAGUUGAUUUCUUCAUCCCAGAAUUCUCUAUAGCCUAAGUCCUCUCUUGCUUUAUUGAAGGAUUGAUAUUGAAAAAAUAAAAAUCUUAUAUUUCUUAUCCAUUAGGAGUGAAUAAGACGAAUUCGCCAGUUGUAAAUAGAAAAGAGAAAUGUGAGUUAUCUAGCUUAAUUAGCUUAGAAUUGUUAGAAAAGUAG